UACGGGGGGGGCAAGCGUUGUUCGGAAUUACUGGGCGUAAAGGGUUCGUAGGCGGCUUGUUAAGUCAGACGUGAAAUCCCUCGGCUCAACCGGGGGACUGCGUCUGAGACUGAUGAGCUCGAGUGCAGGAGAGGAACGCGGAAUUCCAGGUGUAGCGGUGAAAUGCGUAGAUAUCUGGAGGAACACCGGUGGCGAAGGCGGCGUUCUGGACUGCAACUGACACUGAGGAACGAAAGCCAGGGGAGCAAACGGG
rnacentral:rRNA from 1 species